UGUUUAUCUCUAGGGUUGAUCUAUUAGAAUUACUUAUCUGAGCCAAAGUAAUUCAAGUAAUUCAGGUGUAGUGAAAC
rfam:Gorilla gorilla gorilla genomic chromosome, chr13, whole genome shotgun sequence